rnacentral:rRNA from 1 species
AACGAACGCUGGCGGCAGGCUUAACACAUGCAAGUCGAACGCCCCGCAAGGGGAGUGGCAGACGGGUGAGUAACGCGUGGGAACGUGCCCUUCGCUUCGGAAUAGCCCCGGGAAACUGGGAGUAAUACCGAAUACGCCGUAUUGGGAAAGAUUUAUCGGCGAAGGAUCGGCCCGCGUUAGAUUAGCUAGUUGGCGGUGUAAUGGACCACCAAGGCUACGAUCUAUAGCUGGUCUGAGAGGAUGAUCAGCCACACUGGGACUGAGACACGGCCCAGACUCCUACGGGAGGCAGCAGUGGGGAAUCUUGGACAAUGGGCGCACGCCUGAUCCAGCCAUGCCGCGUGAGUGAAGAAGGCCUUAGGGUUGUAAAACUCUUUCGCCGGAGAAGAUAAUGACGGUAUCCGGAGGAGAAGCCCCGGCUAACUUCGUGCCAGCCGCCGCGGUAAAAC